rnacentral:rRNA from 1 species
AAAUUGAACGCUGGCGGCAUGCCUUACACAUGCAAGUCGAACGGCAGCACGGGAGCAAUCCUGGUGGCGAGUGGCGAACGGGUGAGUAAUACAUCGGAACGUGCCCAGUAGUGGGGGAUAGCCCGGCGAAAGCCGGAUUAAUACCGCAUACGACCUACGGGUGAAAGCGGGGGAUCGCAAGACCUCGCGCUAUCGGAGCGGCCGAUGUCAGAUUAGCUAGUUGGUAGGGUAAAAGCCUACCAAGGCGACGAUCUGUAGCUGGUCUGAGAGGACGACCAGCCACACUGGGACUGAGACACGGCCCAGACUCCUACGGGAGGCAGCAGUGGGAAUUUUGGACAAUGGGCGCAAGCCUGAUCCAGCCAUGCCGCGUGCGGGAAGAAGGCCUUCGGUGUAAACCGCUUUGUCAGGAAGAACGCUCCGAGUUAAUACCUCGGAGUAAUGACGGUACCUGAAGAAUAAGCACCGGCUAACUACGUGCCAGCAGCCG